AGAGCGAACGCUGGCGGCAGGCCUAAUACAUGCAAGUCGAGCGGCCCCUCGGGGCAGCGGCGGACGGGUGAGUAACGCGUGGGAAUGUGCCCUUUGGUACGGAACAACUGAGGGAAACUUCAGCUAAUACCGUAUGUGCCCUUCGGGGGAAAGAUUUAUUGCCAUUGGAGCAGCCCGCGUUGGAUUAGCUAGUUGGUGGGGUAAAGCCCACCAAGGCGACGAUCCAUAGCUGGUCUGAGAGGAUGAUCAGCCACACUGGGACUGAGACACGGCCCAGACUCCUACGGGAGGCAGCAGUAGGGAAUCUUGCGCAAGUGGGCGAAAGCCUGACGCAGCCAUGCCGCGUGAAUGAUGAGGUCUAGAUAGUAAAUUCUUACACGGGAAGAUAAGUGACGGUAACCCGAGAAGAACGCCCGCUAACUUCGUGCCAGCGA
rnacentral:rRNA from 1 species